UACGUAGGGUGCGAGCGUUAAUCGGAAUUACUGGGCGUAAAGCGUGCGCAGGCGGUUUUGUAAGCCAGAUGUGAAAUCCCCGGGCUUAACCUGGGAAUGGCAUUUGGGACUGCAAGGCUUGAGUGUGGCAGAGGGGACUGGAAUUCCUGGUGUAGCAGUGAAAUGCGUAGAUAUGCGGAGGAACACCGAUGGCGAAGGCAGCUUGCUGGGCCAUAUCUGACGCUGAGACACGAAAGCGUGGGGAGCGAACAGG
rnacentral:rRNA from 1 species